rnacentral:rRNA from 1 species
UACGGAGGAUCCGAGCGUUAUCCGGAUUUAUUGGGUUUAAAGGGUGCGCAGGCGGGAGAUUAAGUCGGCGGUGAAAUUUUGCAGCUUAACUGUAAAAGUGCCUUCGAAACUGGUUUCCUUGAGUGUAGAUGAAGUAGGCGGAAUUUGUGGUGUAGCGGUGAAAUGCAUAGAUAUCACGAGUAACUCCGAUUGCGCAGGCAGCUUACUAAACUACUACUGACGCUCAGGCACGAAGGCGUGGGGAUCAAACAGGAUUAGAUACCCCCGUAGUCCCUGA